CAGAAAAGCUCGUGUGGUCGGUGCUAUUCUUGGCCAUCGCAGUUGCUGCAGUAACCGGUGUGUCUUACAAGAAGGGACUCGGUUUUGGAUGGCAGGAUCUCAAAUGCAGGGAUUUCACUCCUUUUGUUGGGAAACUGGCAUGGUGGUAUGAUUGGCGAGUAAGCGGCAAAGACCAGUGCACUACAGACGACAGCUUGGAAUACGUACCCAUGUUCUGGGGCCUGGAUCACGUGCCAAUGAUAACCAACAUCAGAGGAAACAAAUACUUGCUGGGGUUUAACGAGCCGAACUUCAGAGUCCAAGCCAACAUCAGCCCGGAGUUGGCAGCAGAGAAAUGGGUUCAACUUCAGAAGAACGUCCCCGCCAAUGUCAAGAUGGUCAGCCCUGCCGCCGCGCCCUGCGACACCAACGACAAAAAUA